rnacentral:tRNA from 1 species
CGGGGUGUAGCGCAGAUGGUAGCGCGCAUGGUUCGGGACCAUGAGGCCGCGGGUUCAAGUCCCGCCACUCCGA